UCUCUUCCUCUCUUCCACUCUUGCAGCCGCCCCAAUUCCUCUCCUCUUGGCUGCAGCCGCCCACUCCCCAUCAAACCCUAGCCACCCCCUUCCCCAAUCCCCCUCCCAAGGUGCAGCCCCUCUCCUUUGGGAUCUCCAUCGAGUGAUGCAAGGCUCUAAUUGGAGAAUUCGUGGAGGAAGAACAAAGAGGUGAAGGAAUAACUCAAGGUGAUCUUAUGUUUAUUUUGUAUUUUUGCUGCGAUUACGUUUGAUUAACCGUUCCCCUAAGCGAAUUGGUGGUAGUGCUGUCCUGAUUUUGGGUGGCAGGCGGACAGAAGUAUUGUGGGCAGUUUCUGGGGUUUUUGCGGCGGUAAUUAGCUAUAAUAACUAUGAUAAUCUUGUAGAGCUUUGUCAUACCUUUCCAACGAGUACUUAUGCGCUCGAUUCGGAGUUUAAAUUUAGGAGAUAUCGCUGUUUGAAUCCGGGUAUGUUGCUGUCCAAAAAACAGAUUUCCACAGGUGGGAGAACAACAUUAGUAUUAGCAGAUUCUGGGGAUUUUUCGUGGGAAAUUAGUGAUAAUCAAUAUGAUAAUCAUGUAUAUCUUUGUCAUACCUUUCCAAUGAGUACUUAUGCGCUCAAUUCGGAGUUAUAAUUUAGGAGAUAUCGCUGUUUGAAUCCGGGUAUGUUGCUGUCCAAAAAACAGAUUUCCGCAGGUGGGCGAACAGCAUUAGUAUUAGCAGAUUCUGGGGAUUUUUCGUGGAAAAUUAGUGAUAAUCCAUACGAUAAUCAUGUAGAGCUUUGUCAUACCUUUACAACGGGUACUUAUGCGCUCGAUUCGGAGUUAUAAUUUAGGAGAUAUCGCUGUUUGAAUCCGGGUAUGUUGCUGUCCAAAAAACAGAUUUCCGCAGGUGGGCGAACAGCAUUAGUAUUAGCAGAUUCUGGGGAUUUUUCGUGCGAAAUUAGUGAUAAUCAAUAUGAUAAUCAUGUAGAGCUUUGUCAUACCUUUCCAACGAGUACUUAUGCGCUUGAUUCGGAGUUAUAAUUUAGGAGCUAUCGCUGUUUGAAUCCGGGUACGUUGCUGUCCAAAAAUAGAUUGCAGGAUGUAUCUUGUGGACGGUUUUGGGCUAAGUAGAUGUGGGAAUUUAAUUAUCUUUGGAAUACAAAACUUGUGGGGAAUUUUAUGUAGAUGCUUCCGGAGUUUUUUAUUCAUAUCACUGCUGUUAUAAUUUUAAAGUUAUGAAAUUAUUAAGCAGCGCCGCUGCAAUUUGGUGGUGAUGGGGAGAGUUGUCGCUCGCGACGGGUUGGAAUUGUGCGUAGGUGCGGCGUUGUUUAUUAGCGUUUGUUAUGUGAAUUUGUGCACUAAAAUGUGUGUCAAAAACAGGUGGUGGACUUCCGGAUCGUACUUAGUACCAUUCCAAAUUUUCGGUGAAGGCAAGUAAAUACAGUGGUGGAUGCUACCGUUUGGUUUGCAUCCUAUUCCCUGUCAUUGAGUAUGCAUAAGUUUUAAAUAUAUUAAUCAUUGAAUUCUAUGAUGAAGUUUAUUGGUUUGAAAGUAUUAAUUCUCAAUUGUCUAAUAUUGUGGAUGAUCAUAAUUUGGUAAUGAUAUAUGUGGUUGAUUCCCAUCUUGGAUGAAGUUGAAGUGUCUUUUUGAAUCACGUUAUAUGAAGUGUUGUGGGCAUAUCAUGCACAUCGCAUCAUUCAUCUUGCAUUUUGAAGUUAUGUCGUGAUCUUAUGGUCCGAUCGUACCGGUACAUUUUUAGCAUCGUACGUUGCCCAAGGAGGGGUACGAUGCGGCUUCAUAUCCUUAGAGGUAUGAAGGCAGAAGUCAUCCUUGCAUUUGCAGACAUUUGCACUCAUGAGGAAUAUAUGAAGUGUGACAUUACUAUGUUACUAUUGUGGUUUAUACCUGCGAGAUGUGGUAACUAGGUGUGUUGUAUGUUGUAUACGUGCUGCACCUUCGUAAUAAGAAGGUUGUGGAAUCAAGUGGUGGUAAAACAAUGUUCUUAUGUGGUUAAACAAUUUGAUAUUAUUUUACUUGCUGAGAUGUGUCAUCUCACUCUUGCAUUACUCAAUGCAGGUACUUGAUACAUGUUGGGAAUGAGGGGAGUAGCAACACGUCCACUUUCACUCUCACAAUAACGCUGCCCAGGCGCAGCCAUGAUUUAAUUAGAAACUUAUUGUCAAAGGAAGUUUGUUUUUUU
rnacentral:lncRNA from 1 species